AUGAAAAUGAAAUGGGGAAUAUCUUGCAAGAGAUCACAGAAAUGCAAGCUACUGCUGUAGAUGGGGGGAGAAGACAUGUAAUUUCAUCGUGCAAAAAUAUAACGAUUGGCAUGGAGUGUGCUAGAGCCAGGAAUGUCACUGUGAAACAUGAGAAUGAUGAGGAUAGCCGUAGACAGCCUCGUGUGCUAGACAUUGACGGGGAGUGUGCGAGGAAGCUCCAGAAAGAGCUGGACGAGGAAUUUGGCAAAUGAUGAUCAGGUUGCAUGUAUGUAUCAGAAGAUGUAUGACCAGAAUGCCACUGACAAGCAAAUCAGGGUGGCGACCACACAUCAUGGUCAGGGAACAGGGGCAGGUGGUCAUAGAGCAUCAGACGUGGGAGUUCAGACGAGGUUGGACGAUUUUUUCCACUGUCGGACUGGUCUGGGCAGACAAUGAACCACUGAAGGACGGAGAUGUGUCAUUCGGAAGAAACGUAAGUGCAGCAAGAAAUCAAGAAAGGGGAGGGCUAAACAACGAGGUUCUCAAAUAUUGUUCAGACGAUCUGUCCAACAGAAAGCUCUGAAUCAGAUGACAGCAGCACAGAUGACGGGAACAUUGCUUACUACAUAGAGUUGCCAACAUCGAGACGAAAUACUAUGCCAGUGAGGUGUGGGUGGGUGGCAGCAGAUGUGGGGCGAGUUGCUGCGCCUGCUGCAGAGGUCGCAAAUGUUUCCGUAGUCAAUAAUCCUGGUCAAUAAUAAUCCUGAACAUUCAACUGGUUACACUUACGAGAGGACAACAAGUGAAUGUCCGAAUAACCUCAACAGCAUGCUUGACAGAUAUACGAGAUGUUGGUGCUGGACAGCAGCCUGUGGCAUCAUUCUCCGCUGAAUCAUCACUAUUUAUGUUGCUAGGAAUCUGUAGGUUGGCAUCGCCCGUAUCCCCUUCACAGCUAUCUUCAUCGGACAUGUUGGGUCUGCAACA